GGAGAGGUCGCAUAGUGGUCGAGUGCGCACGCUUGGAAAGCGUGUAGUCCAAUUGGGCUCGGGGGUUCGAAUCCCCUCCUCUCCU
rfam:Streptococcus gallolyticus strain ICDDRB-NRC-S1, complete genome.